AUACGGAGGGUGCGAGCGUUAAUCGGAAUUACUGGGCGUAAAGCGCGCGUAGGCGGCUUUGUAAGUCGGAUGUGAAAGCCCUGGGCUCAACCUGGGAAUGGCAUUCGAUACUGCAUAACUAGAGUAUGGCAGAGGGAAGUGGAAUUUCCGGUGUAGCGGUGAAAUGCGUAGAUAUCGGAAGGAACACCAGUGGCGAAGGCGACUUCCUGGGCCAAUACUGACGCUGAGGUGCGAAAGCGUGGGGAGCAAACAGAAUUAGAAACCCCAGUAGUCC
rnacentral:rRNA from 1 species